rnacentral:rRNA from 1 species
UAGUUCUUCGGAAUUAGAGACCGGCGCACGGGUGCGUAACGCGUAUGCAAUCUACCUUUUACAGAGGGAUAGCCCAGAGAAAUUUGGAUUAAUACCUCAUAGCAUUGCAGGAUGGCAUCAUCCAGCAAUUAAAGUCACAACGGUAAAAGAUGAGCAUGCGUCCCAUUAGCUAGUUGGUAAGGUAACGGCUUACCAAGGCUACGAUGGGUAGGGGUCCUGAGAGGGAGAUCCCCCACACUGGUACUGAGACACGGACCAGACUCCUACGGGAGGCAGCAGUGAGGAAUAUUGGACAAUGGGCGCAAGCCUGAUCCAGCCAUGCCGCGUGCAGGAUGACGGUCCUAUGGAUUGUAAACUGCUUUUAUACGAGAAGAAACACUCCGACGUGUCGGAGCUUGACGGUAUCGUAAGAAUAAGGAUCGGCUAACUCCGUGCCAGCAGCCGCGGUAAUACGGAGGAUCCAAGCGUUAUCCGGAAUCAUUGGGUUUAAAGGGUCCGUAGGCGGUUUAAUAAGUCAGUGGUGAAAGCCCAUCGCUCAACGGUGGAACGGCCAUUGAUACUGUUAGACUUGAAUUAUUAGGAAGUAACUAGAAUAUGUAGUGUAGCGGUGAAAUGCUUAGAGAUUACAUGGAAUACCAAUUGCGAAGGCAGGUUACUACUAAUGGAUUGACGCUGAUGGACGAAAGCGUGGGUAGCGAACAGGAUUAGAUACCCUGGUAGUCCACGCCGUAAACGAUGGAUACUAGCUGUUGGAAGCAAUUUCAGUGGCUAAGCGAAAGUGAUAAGUAUCCCACCUGGGGAGUACGUUCGCAAG